rnacentral:misc_RNA from 1 species
AUUAUUUAGGAAUUUUGUGUUGAUAUAGAAUUCGUAAUUAGUAUUUGAAUAGGGUUUUCUUGUUUAAUGAUUUCCUAACUCUAAUGUGAUUAGGGUUACAAAACUCUAUAAACAGGCCGAGGACAUCUACAAAUUUAGUAGAUUUUCCAUGACAAUUUAUAUUGCUUUGAGCUAAUAAAUUAAGAAUGUGUUUCUCUCAAAAUUGAGACCCUAAUCCCCAAAGCCCCAUUGGUUCUACAUCAAUUUGG